AGUGAACGCUGGCGGUAGGCCUAACAUAUGCAAGUCGAACGGCAGCACAGUAAGCGCUUGCUCUUACGGGUGGCGAGUGGCGGACGGGUGAGGCAUACAUCGGAAUCUACUUUUUCUUGGGGGAUAACGUAGGGAAACUUACGCUAAUACCGCAUACGACCUACGGGUGAAAGCAGUGGAUCUUCGGACCUUUCGCGAUUGAAUGAGCCGAUGUCGGAUUAGCUAGUUGGCGUGGUAAAGGCCCACCAAGGCGACGAUCCGUAGCUGGUCUGAGAGGAUGAUCAGCCACACUGGAACUGAGACACGGUCCAGACUCCUACGGGAGGCAGCAGUGGGGAAUAUUGGACAAUGGGCGAAAGCCUGAUCCAGCCAUACCGCGUGGGUGAAGAAGGCCUUCGGGUUGUAAAGCCCUUUUGUUGGGAAAGAAAAGCAGCAGGUUAAUACCCCGAUGUUCUGACGGUACCCAAAGAAUAAGCACCGGCUAACUUCGUG
rnacentral:rRNA from 1 species